AACGUAGGACGCAAGCGUUAUCCGGAUUUACUGGGCGUAAAGCGCGUUCAGGCGGCUUGACAAGUCGGGCAUGAAAUCUCUCGGCUCAACCGGGAGGGGCUGUCCGAUACUGUCGGGCUUGAGGGCAGUAGAGGGUGGUGGAAUUCCGGGUGUAGUGGUGAAAUGCGUAGAUAUCCGGAGGAACACCAGUGGCGAAAGCGGCCACCUGGACUGUACCUGACGCUCAAACGCGAAAGCUAGGGGAGCGAACGGG
rnacentral:rRNA from 1 species